rnacentral:rRNA from 1 species
AUGUCGAGCGGCGGCGGGAAGCAGCAGCAGCAGCAGCAGGCGAAGAAGCCGGCGGCGGCGGAGGACAUCGAGAUCAAGAAGGUCUUCUCCCGCUUCGACACGGACGGCGACGGCCGGAUCUCGCCGUCGGAGCUGGCGGCCGUCUCCCGCGCCAUCGCGCCGCCGGCCACCGAGUCCGCGCAGGGGCGGGAGGUGGCGUCCAUGAUGGACGAGCUCGACACCGACCGCGACGGCUACGUGGACCUCGGCGAGUUCGCCGCCUUCCACGGCCGCGGCCGCGGGGAGCGCGAGCUGGACGCCGAGCUGCGCGACGCCUUCGACAUCUACGACAUCAACGGCGACGGCCGCAUCUCCGUCGCCGAGCUCAGCAAGGUCCUCAGCCGCAUCGGCGAGGGGUGCAGCACCGAGGACUGCGAGAAGAUGAUCGCCUCCGUCGACGUCGACGGCGACGGCUGCGUCGGCUUCGACGAGUUCAAGAAGAUGAUGACCGGCGACGUCGCCGGCGCACCACCUCAACCCGAAGCGACCGCCGCCCCUGACAGCAACAAACCCAAAGAGUGA